UGGGCAACCUGCCCCUCUCUCUGGGAUAAACCCCCGGGGAAAACCGGAGCUAAUACCGGAUACUCCGGCUGGAUCGCAUGGUCCGGCCGGGAAAGGUCCGCCGGAGAGGGAUGGGCCCGCGGCCUAUCAGCUUGUUGGUGGGGUGAUGGCCUACCAAGGCGACGACGGGUAGCCGGCCUGAGAGGGCGACCGGCCACACUGGGACUGAGACACGGCCCAGACUCCUACGGGAGGCA
rnacentral:rRNA from 1 species